AAACACUGUGCGUUCCUACGCUGUGACAACAAUGUGUUAAUGAAACAUUAAAGUUGUGCAAUGCUGACAAAG